ACAUAUGUUGUAUUAUCAAAAGGUGUUCGUAAUAUAAUUAGCUAGUUUUAUUUUGAAUGAACUGAUCCCGACAAUACAGCACCAUUCUGUAGUUGUCUAGUAGAAAUGGAUUUUUAGCGACCGUGCAUCGGACGAGAUGAAACUUGCGCUGUUGUCUUCAUAAAAACUUUAUAAAAGGGAUUGAUCAUCACCACAAUUUUACUGAAUGUUAUUUUGGAUUUGUAUUCAUAUCGUGAUGGGUGGCAAGAAGAAGAAACAUCGUGAAGAUCGCCGUGGUGCUGAGUAGAUCUGCUUUCGAACCUUCUGCUUAAGAGAAAAAAAACCCUUUUUUAAUGAUUUCCGUGUUUUUACUUUAAUUAUUUGUUUGUUGUUGUUUCUGUAUCAUA